UCCCUGGUGGCUCAGAGGUUAAAGCGUCUGCCUCCAAUGCAGGAGACCUGGGUUUGAUUCCUGGGUCGGGAA
rnacentral:tRNA from 1 species